rnacentral:rRNA from 1 species
UGAAACUCAAAGGANNNGNCGGGGGCCCGCACAAGCGGUGGAGCAUGUGGUUUAAUUNGAAGCAACGCGAAGAACCUUNCCAGGUCUUGACAUCCCUCUGNCCGCUCUAGAGAUAGAGCUUUCCUUCGGGACAGAGGUGACAGGUGGUGCAUGGUUGUCGUCAGCUCGUGUCGUGAGAUGUUGGGUUAAGUCCCGCAACGAGCGCAACCCCUAUUGUUAGUUGCCAUCAUUCAGUUGGGCACUCUAGCGAGACUGCCGGUAAUAAACCGGAGGAAGGUGGGGAUGACGUCAAAUCNUCAUNCCCCUUAUGACCUGGGCUACACACGUGCUACAAUGGCUGGUACAACGAGUCGCAAGCCGGUGACGGCAAGCUAAUCUCUUAAAGCCAGUCUCAGUUCGGAUUGUAGGCUGC